CGCCGGUCAGCUCUCUCUCUCCAUGCAGUCGAGCGGAGUGAUGGUGCUUGCACUAUCACUUAGCGGCGGACGGGUGAGUAAUGCUUAGGAAUCUGCCUAUUAGUGGGGGACAACAUUUCGAAAGGAAUGCUAAUACCGCAUACGUCCUACGGGAGAAAGCAGGGGAUCUUCGGACCUUGCGCUAAUAGAUGAGCCUAAGUCGGAUUAGCUAGUUGGUGGGGUAAAGGCCUACCAAGGCGACGAUCUGUAGCGGGUCUGAGAGGAUGAUCCGCCACACUGGGACUGAGACACGGCCCAGACUCCUACGGGAGGCAGCAGUGGGGAAUAUUGGACAAUGGGCGCAAGCCUGAUCCAGCCAUGCCGCGUGUGUGAAGAAGGCCUUAUGGUUGUAAAGCACUUUAAGCGAGGAGGAGGCUACUGAAGUUAAUACCUUCAGAUAGUGGACGUUACUCGCAGAAUAAGCACCGGCUAACUCUGUGCCAGCAGCCGCGGUAAUACAGAGGGUGCAAGCGUUAAUCGGAUUUACUGGGCGUAAAGCGCGCGUAGGCGGCUAAUUAAGUCAAAUGUGAAAUCCCCGAGCUUAACUUGGGAAUUGCAUUCGAUACUGGUUAGCUAGAGUGUGGGAGAGGAUGGUAGAAUUCCAGGUGUAGCGGUGAAAUGCGUAGAGAUCUGGAGGAAUACCGAUGGCGAAGGCAGCCAUCUGGCCUAACACUGACGCUGAGGUGCGAAAGCAUGGGGAGCAAACAGGAUUAGAUACCCUGGUAGUCCAUGCCGUAAACGAUGUCUACUAGCCGUUGGGGCCUUUGAGGCUUUAGUGGCGCAGCUAACGCGAUAAGUAGACCGCCUGGGGAGUACGGUCGCAAGACUAAAACUCAAAUGAAUUGACGGGGGCCCGCACAAGCGGUGGAGCAUGUGGUUUAAUUC
rnacentral:rRNA from 1 species